rnacentral:rRNA from 1 species
GGUUAAGCGACUAAGCGUACACGGUGGAUGCCCUGGCAGUCAGAGGCGAUGAAGGGCGUGCUAAUCUGCGAUAAGCGCCGGUAAGGUGAUAUGAACCGUUAUAACCGGCGAUACCCGAAUGGGGAAACCCAGUGUGACUCGUCACACUAUCAUUAACUGAAUCCAUAGGUUAAUGAGGCGAACCGGGGGAACUGAAACAUCUAAGUACCCCGAGGAAAAGAAAUCAACCGAGAUUCCCCCAGUAGCGGCGAGCGAACGGGGAGGAGCCCAGAGCCUGAAUCAGCAUGUGUGUUAGUGGAAGCGUCUGGAAAGGCGCGCGAUACAGGGUGACAGCCCCGUACACAAAAGCGCAUGUGCUGUGAGCUCGAUGAGUAGGGCGGGACACGUGGUAUCCUGUCUGAAUAUGGGGGGACCAUCCUCCAAGGCUAAAUACUCCUGACUGACCGAUAGUGAACCAGUACCGUGAGGGAAAGGCGAAAAGAACCCCGGCGAGGGGAGUGAAAAAGAACCUGAAACCGUGUACGUACAAGCAGUGGGAGCACCCUUUGGGGUGUGACUGCGUACCUUUUGUAUAAUGGGUCAGCGACUUAUAUUCUGUAGCAAGGUUAACCGUAUAGGGGAGCCGGAGGGAAACCGAGUCUUAAUUGGGCGUUAAGUUGCAGGGUAUAGACCCGAAACCCGGUGAUCUAGCCAUGGGCAGGUUGAAGGUUGGGUAACACUAACUGGAGGACCGAACCGACUAAUGUUGAAAAAUUAGCGGAUGACCUGUGGCUGGGGGUGAAAGGCCAAUCAAACCGGGAGAUAGCUGGUUCUCCCCGAAAGCUAUUUAGGUAGCGCCUCGUGAAUUCAUCUCCGGGGGUAGAGCACUGUUUCGGCUAGGGGGCCAUCCCGGCUUACCAACCCGAUGCAAACUGCGAAUACCGGAGAAUGUUAUCACGGGAGACACACGGCGGGUGCUAACGUCCGUCGUGAAGAGGGAAACAACCCAGACCGCCAGCUAAGGUCCCAAAGUCAUGGUUAAGUGGGAAACGAUGUGGGAAGGCCCAGACAGCCAGGAUGUUGGCUUAGAAGCAGCCAUCAUUUAAAGAAAGCGUAAUAGCUCACUGGUCGAGUCGGCCUGCGCGGAAGAUGUAACGGGGCUAAACCAUGCACCGAAGCUGCGGCAGCGAACGUAUCACUUAAAGCGAUUCAGCGGAUGACGAUUGACGGAGCGAAGCGACGUCAAAGCGUAUACAAAGUCGAGUCGGUUUAAGGAUACGUUCGUUGGGUAGGGGAGCGUUCUGUAAGCCUGCGAAGGUGGCCUGUGAGGGUUGCUGGAGGUAUCAGAAGUGCGAAUGCUGACAUAAGUAACGAUAAAGCGGGUGAAAAGCCCGCUCGCCGGAAGACCAAGGGUUCCUGUCCAACGUUAAUCGGGGCAGGGUGAGUCGACCCCUAAGGCGAGGCCGAAAGGCGUAGUCGAUGGGAAACGGGUUAAUAUUCCCGUACUUGGUGUUACUGCGAAGGGGGGACGGAGAAGGCUAUGUUGGCCGGGCGACGGUUGUCCCGGUUUAAGCGUGUAGGUGUGUGUUCCAGGUAAAUCCGGUUCACUUUAACACUGAGGCGUGACGACGAGGCACUACGGUGCUGAAGCAACAAAUGCCCUGCUUCCAGGAAAAGCCUCUAAGCAUCAGGUAACAUCAAAUCGUACCCCAAACCGACACAGGUGGUCAGGUAGAGAAUACCAAGGCGCUUGAGAGAACUCGGGUGAAGGAACUAGGCAAAAUGGUGCCGUAACUUCGGGAGAAGGCACGCUGACAUGUAGGUGAAGUGAUUUACUCAUGGAGCUGAAGUCAGUCGAAGAUACCAGCUGGCUGCAACUGUUUAUUAAAAACACAGCACUGUGCAAACACGAAAGUGGACGUAUACGGUGUGACGCCUGCCCG